rnacentral:rRNA from 1 species
CCUACGGGUGGCAGCAGUGAGGAAUAUUGGUCAAUGGACGAGAGUCUGAACCAGCCAAGUAGCGUGAAGGAUGACUGCCCUAUGGGUUGUAAACUUCUUUUAUAAAGGAAUAAAACGAGGCACGUGUGCCUUUUUGCAUGUACUUUAUGAAUAAGGAUCGGCUAACUCCGUGCCAGCAGCCGCGGUAAUACGGAGGAUCCGAGCGUUAUCCGGAUUUAUUGGGUUUAAAGGGAGCGUAGAUGGGUUGUUAAGUCAGUUGUGAAAGUUUGCGGCUCAACCGUAAAAUUGCAAUUGAUACUGGCAGUCGUGAGUACAGUUGAGGUAGGCGGAAUUCGUGGUGUAGCGGUGAAAUGCUUAGAUAUCACGAAGAACCCCGAUUGCGAAGGCAGCUUACUAAACUGUGACUGACAUUGAGGCUCGAAAGUGUGGGUAUCAAACAGGAUUAGAUACCCUGGUAGUC